UCAAGGAAUCCCAUCAAUCCUCGCCAAGAACAGCAAGACAAGGAAAGAAAAAUCUAAGAUGAUCCUGCCCGCUGCUCGUCUACCAUGGAGAUCCGAUCGAUCAACACUUGCGGAGCUCUAGACUCUGGAUUGAUCUACAGACUUCUCGACAAGCAAAGAGCCAUCUUUUAAAGUGGGAAUUGACCAAGCACUCCUCUCUUUCUUUCGCCGUGAAAUAGACGAGAGGGGGGGAGAGAGAGAGAGAGAGAGAGAGAAACAAUGCAAGCUCUGUUCUUCAGCUAUCUUCCCCGAGCGACAAGAGAAAAGACUCUGGAUUUUGGGCGGAGCUUACAGCAGAGGGUGUCGGAUCUCGCUGACCCAAGAGCCCCAGUGGCGUUGCCUCACGCCCCGGUACCGCUGCGGCCUCCCCAUUCUCGAUGGAUUCGCGAUACAAUUCCAGCACCAAUUAAGCGGGGAACCUCAAGAACAACGAACAAGAAGGGAGAAGGAACAGUGGAGGACGAGCACAGAAGAGAAGAACACUCUUUUCGUCUGGAGCUCUGAGGGGAAUGAGCGCAAAACUUUACUUCUAUGCACUUCGACGAGUAGCAAUUAAAAGGAGGAGCGGGAAAUGGCUACUAGCAGGAACAGAGCUGGGCUGGCUGGCUAGAGAGAAAAAAAAAUAGGAAAAACAAAGAGAUUUAAAUCGCGAAGAGUGAGAAAAUUCGAGGGUCCCGCAACCGUUGAGCAUGUCGGACGGAUUCAACAAACAAAACCUCAAAGUCGUCUCUUCCGGGCAA